UACGGAGGGUGCGAGCGUUGUCCGGAAUCACUGGGCGUAAAGGGCGCGUAGGCGGUUCGUUAAGUCCUGUGUGAAAUCCCCCGGCUCAACUGGGGAACUGCACAGGAAACUAGCGGGCUUGAGUUCGGGAGAGGGAAGCGGAAUUCCGGGUGUAGCGGUGAAAUGCGUAGAUAUCCGGAGGAACACCGGUGGCGAAGGCGGCUUCCUGGACCGACACUGACGCUGAGGCGCGAAAGCUAGGGGAGCAAACGGG
rnacentral:rRNA from 1 species